ensembl:snRNA U1 U1 spliceosomal RNA
AUACUUACCUGGCAGGGGAGAUACCAUGAUCACGAAGGUGGUUUUCCCAGGGCGAGGCUUAUCCAUUGCACUCCGGAUAUGCUGACCCCUGUGAUUUCCCCAAAUGUGGGAAACUCGACUGCAUCAUUUGUGGUAGUGGGGGACUGCAUUUGCGCUUUCCCCUG